GUACUUUUUUUUGUCUGAGAGGAUAGUGGCCAUAUUCCCAUCAGGCCUGACCUCAGAAUUGCAGUUGGAAAUGGGGAAGGAAAUUCAAAAUUUGUCCCAGCUCCUUCAUCCUGGACACUAAGUUUUUCAGAUAAUAAUUUUAUGGACGAAUUGGAGCUAGACACUGCAGAAAUCCUUAGAAAAGCCAGAAGAAGGAGAAAACAAAAUUGUAAAAGAUCAUUCCUAACUCAAAGAAAGUGAAGGUCUACACUCCGAGGAAUGCGCCUAUACUAGUGAGGAAAUUGAUGUGGUUCGUGAGCAAUGGGCUAAGUUUUUUACCCGCAAGUAUUUACUAUUGGCUUGAGCGCGCUUGAUCGAGGUGGUUUAGUUGUUAUAGAACAAUCGUUUACAUUAAAAUGUAUGCGUACAUUGAAAUUGGAACGUAUAUUUGAAUGUAGUACGUGCACUUUGGUUUUGGGAUAUAUAUAUAUAUGUAUACAAAACACCAGUUAUUAUUUUUUA